rnacentral:rRNA from 1 species
UACAGAGGUCUCAAGCGUUGUUCGGAUUCAUUGGGCGUAAAGGGUGCGUAGGCGGCGUGGUAAGUCGGGUGUGAAAUCUCGGAGCUUAACUCCGAAACUGCAUUCGAUGCUGCCGUGCUUGAGGACUGGAGAGGAGACUGGAAUUUACGGUGUAGCAGUGAAAUGCGUAGAUAUCGUAAGGAAGACCAGUGGCGAAGGCGGGUCUCUGGACAGUUCCUGACACUGAGGCACGAAGGCCAGGGGAGCAAACGGG